AACGCACAUUGCGCCCCUUGGUAUUCCAUGGGGCAUGCUUGUUCGAGCGUCAUUUGUACUCUCAAGCUUUGCUUGGUGUUGGGUGUUUGUCCUUUCCUCGCGUUUGGACUCGCCUCAAAGUUAUUGGCAGCCAAUGUAUUGGUUUGAAGCGCAGCACAAUUUGCGAUUUAAGCUGGUAAUCAUUAGCCUCCAUCAAACAAUUUAACACUUUUGACCUCGGAUCAAGUAGGGAUACCCGCUGAACUUAA
rnacentral:misc_RNA from 1 species